CUGGUGGGGGAGGGAGAGAGGUGAUGCCCCUCCCAGGCUUCAGAUCUGGAGGCCCACACUGGACACGUCAGGAGGGCUGAGGUCUCCCGGACCCCAGGGACCAGGACAGACAGCAGAAAGCACUCCAGGGGGACAGUGGAGGCUGGGCUGGAGACUCAGGGGGCGCAUAGAGACCCCAGCUCAGGGCCUGGGUGUGAGCAGGACCUGACGGUACUCACUUCUCUAAUGGUCAUUGACAGGUCCCCAAGUGGCCUUGUGUUCAUCUGUCAACCAGGGAAAAGUGACUAUCUCUAAGACAUGCCAGUGGGUGAGCAAAGGCUUUCAGAAUUUGGGAUCUGCGGUGGUGGCCGGGAAGCCUUUGGUGGUUAAAGCGGUGCCCAGAGAGGUAAGGAGGCCUCCCUGAGAGCUCCCCUGGGCUGGCGACGGGGACACUGGAACUUGAGGCCCCAGGUCAUGGCGUGGCUUCAGCCCUGGGGCAGCCCUGGCGUCCUCCUUCCUUGUGAGAGCCAGAGGUGGUGAAGAAAUGAGAUCAUCUAAAAAUACAGCCGUGGGGGCAUGCAGCCUCCCCCGCAGCCUUGGUUCACAGUGGCCACAGAGGAACCCCUCACAACAGGAAUGCAGCGGUGCCCUGGACCCGGGCCACUGAGAGGGGGUCUGCGGAUAUCUCUUCUGCCAACGGUCAGAGCAAAGCUUCCUAGCCGAGGACGUGCAAGUACAUGGGAGAGAAGCCAGCAGCCGGGGAGGCGGGAAGGCGAAGCUCCGGUCGAUGUAGCCGCAGAUGUCCUCACUGUUGAAGCUGCCCCGCUGGUGGCCAGGACCCAGCCCUUGUGCUGCAGCCUCCGGGCUGCCGCUAGCGGUGGCAGCAUGGGGCAGGGGCCCAAGGGGCGUCAGGCCUGACUUGCGGCCAGGCUCUGGGUCCCAGGCGGGGCUCCGGCUGGAGCCGAAGAAGCGGGCUUUGAUGUCCUCGAAGCCGUCGGUCCAGGCCCGGCGGCCGGCGGCCACCUCGUCAGUCACCGCCUUAUGGAAGGCCCGAGCAGUCUCCCAGCCGUGGGCGCCCAGGUGCUCGAAGACCUCGAAGCAGAGCAGGUGGCGCAUUUUACGCUCCUCGGCAGGCAGGUCGCACUCCAGCAGCUGGAAGUAGCCCAGCAUGAAGAGGUCCAGCGUCAGGCUGCCGUAGGGCACGGGCGCCCCACCCACGUGCGGCAGGAACUGCUCCGGAGACAGGGGCCCGCGGGGCCGCCGGCUCAGCCGCCGCAGCUGCCGGGCCGGCACGUGCGCCAGGAUGGCCUUCCAGGUGCCCAGCAGGGACACUGGUUGCAGCCAGGAGGAGCCCUGGACCUGGACGCAUGUCCCCAGCUCACCCUGAGCAGCCUCAGCUCUGGGGAGUGACCACCCGCAGCCAAGACCUCUGGCCCGGCUGACCUAGCAAGUAGGGGCUGUGAGCCACAGGACCGCACUCGUCUCUUCGUGUCCCACCGCAUGUAGCAGAGAAAUUCUCCAGGACGACACCAGAGACAGGCUUGUCACUUUUUGGCUGAACGCUGAAAGUUGAAGUCGGGCCAAGCCCAUCUCGGAGGGCAGACUCCCAUGCUCCCUGCUCCCCUGGUGUCACCGUGAUGCCCUUCUCCCGUGGGGCUGUCCCCACGUGCCUCUCCAGCUCACAGGGCCACAGCUGCCGGCCGUUGGAGCACCCCAGCCUGGCUGUCAGAGGGCAGCUCCUCACCCCUCCUUGCUGUGGGCGGCAGAGGGGGGAUAGGCCUCCAGGCUGGUGCUGGAAAGAGCCCUGAGCAGGACACGGCUGCCUGGCCUGGGGCUGGGACCACGCUGUCACUCAGUUUCCUGCUCUGCUCUCUCUGCAUUAAAGUGCUUCAACAUUUUGCAAUAAGAAGCCCAGCGUUGCUGUGGCCAGUCCUGCUGGGGCAAACCGCUUGGCCACCCUGAGUGUCCCCGCACUCAGUCCCACCUCCCAGCAAGGAGGCACAGAUCUUAGGGAGCUACUGGAGCUUGGGGGCACCCUCAGGAGAACCCCUGACCUGCACCCGCUGCCUCCAGCCCCUCAAUUGCUCCCCUACCCAGGACCCUCUGCCCACCAUGGCCACUGGAAAGGAACACAGCCUGAAGCCCCGUCUGCCAGCCACCACGCACCUCACACGUCAGUCUUUCCAGGAAUCCGGUGGAGAGCCCAGGAGUCCCGGUGCUCCAUGGGUGGGGGAGUGUCUGCCGGCCCCCAGCCUGGGGGAGACCCACAGAGGCAGGGGCUGGGUUGAGCACAGGGAGCUGCCACAGUACUGGGCUGUCAGGGCUGUACCAACUGCCGCCCCCAGGAGCGGGAGGCGUCGCAUUAAUAUUUGAAGACUGAGGUAUCAGGUGGCCAGGCGGGCUUGAGGCUGGGUGCCGGAUCCCUUACCAUGGUACCUUAACCCUCCAUGGGGCAGGGGCCAGAGGAGCAGACCCUUGGGAUGCGGGCGAGGCUUGAGACCCCUAGGUCAUGGGAGAGGGAGAAGCUAGCCAGAGGAAAGCCCCAGUAUUGGACCUCCAGCCCCAGAGUAGCUCCCAGGGCACGACAGGGAAACCAAGGCUCGCUGGGAUGUGGGGAGAGCUGGGAUCAGAAUCUUAUUUGAGACCCCCAGUCCUUGCUCCAGGAACCCCUUGAAUCACUGCUCCCUGGGUCAGGGGCAUCAGCAGUGGAGGAGAAUGCUGAUGGGGGGUGCCUCUGGGGGCUGGGAAAGCCCUGACACUGGUUGGGUUUCUUGCACUCCUAUUGAGGAUGCAAAACCCUGGCUACUCUUUAUGUGGCCAUUUCUCAGGGCUGCAUCUGGAAGGAGGGACCCAGAGGGAUCUCACUGCUCACUGUAAAAUGGGGGUUCCCCAAGCUCAGGGGUUCUCAGCUGUGACACCAAACUCCUGUGGGCACAGUAGCCAUCUGUAUCCAUAUCACGUUAUGCAGGGACCUGGGGGGGCAAGGGGAUCCAAGCAAACAUAACACUUGCUCUCUGCAGUGGUCUUGGACAAUAGUGUCUUCUUCCAGCGUCCAUGACACAGACCUUGGCUGGCUUACGAGCUUUAAGCAGGACCAAGUCAGACCCUGAAGCCUGGGGCCUCCCCCUGCUAUCUCCUACCCCUCUCCCUAAAGGAGUCGGCUCUUGGGGUUAGGGGCAAGAAGCUCCCCUCCCCCGCCAGAGCGCAGGAUGUUGGUUUGGGCCUCAGGGGAAUGGACUUGGGCCCCAUUGCUGCACCCGCAGCCUGGGGGAACUCAUGUCACUCUCCUGGCCCCAGCUGCACCCUCCCCCACCUCCAAGGAGAAAUGAGGGGAAGUCACACCUGGGGCUUUGGUUUCCCCUCCUGUAAGUCAGGAAGAUGACGAAUUACGGGAGGUGCCUGACGGGCCAGCGUAGGGGGCUCACACCUCAUCGGCGUGUUCUCACCUCUGAGCUUACCCGGGCCCUGUCUGCUGUGCUGUUUCUUUGGCGCCGGGAGAAGCCACAUCCUGACACUAACCAAGUCUGCAAGGAGUUGAAGGGGCUCAGAUGUGGGGCUCCGACCUCUGGGUCCUGAUGGCUGGGCACAUGCCCCACCCCCAAAUUGGGCAAUUGCUCUGAGGUCAGUGGUUGGCUCGGCCCUUUCCGGGGCCUGCCAUCUCCUUUCCUGUGUUUUGGUGAGAUUUGAGCAAUGCUGGGUCUGCCAUGCAUUAUACAUUGAGGACAGCUGUGGCGAGCUGGGUUACAGGCCUGUAAUGCCACCCGGGCUGAGAAAAUCAUGACCCACAGAUGGGCGCCGGACACCGGUCACCACGGCUGAGAUUCAAUUACUGGCGGCACCGCCAGGCCCCACCCCUCACCGGAGAGGAUGCUGCCCCUGGGGAGUCUCUUGCCCUCUCUGGGCCUCAGUUCCGCAGCAAAGACGAAAGGGUGCUGGAGCCCUUGUGACCUCGGGGAGGGAAUGAGCACCCGCUGGAGGCCUCAGGAGCAUCUCCCGCCACCACUCGUCCCUCCUGUUUCACAGAUGAGAAACUGAGGCUUGGAGAUGCCACGACCUCACCAGCCAGGAAGAGCCUCUCCAGCCCUGGUGGGUGCAAGUACAGGGCCAGGGCCAAUAGGACGGGCCGGUGCUAUGGUGGGGGAUGAGGGGCUGCCCCCCCCUCACACCUGUUUGGAGGGUCGGGCUUGCCAGCCAGGGCUGCUGUUCCCAAAUGCCACCACCUGGCGGGGACCUCACUCAAGCCUGGGGCCCUGCAGCCAGAAGCCCACCCCCUCAGACAGGCCCAACCCUUCGCCCAACCCUUCGUUGUGCAGAGGGGGCCCGAGGGCCAGGUAGUAGGAAGACCCGGCAGCUGGACUAAGGCAGGGCCUGGCCUCCCCGAGCCGAGGGUAGGCCUGGGUGCUGGGCAGCGUGGACCCAGGUCCUGCAACCCAGUGGCCGAGGGGGCGCCUCCCACAGGCACAGCCUGGCUCCCCAGGCCACCUCUCCUGAGACCCACAGCUCCCGGGGGCAGGUGCGGCCGCCCUGUACGUCUUCCACCACCUCCUCUGAGCCUGGCGUGGGAAGAAGCCGGCGCGGCGACCUCUGGAUAUUACAUUUCCAUCAAUAUUGCAUAAGGCGCCCGGCACCCCCCUCCCCAGCGCCAGGGCCCACAACCGACACCCCGUCCUCCUGCCAAGCCAAGUCUGCAUGUGAGGCAGGUGGCCUAGGGGGGGACCCACACCCCCCACUGCCCUGAGCGCUCACUUGGGCUCCCCAAGCUCUCUGCCGACACAGCAACAUGCCUCAAAAACCAGGGCUUUGUGGACGGGCGGGCUGCUGGUCACAGGCUGGGGAGCUGGGGAGUCCUGAGAGAAAAGAAUUCUGCCUCAGAUCCUAUGGCGACACCAGGGACACAGCGAGGACAACCCGAGAUGGGCCGCUUCUCCACGGCCCCAGGGCCGUCGGGAGAACACCCAGAACCCCACCCCUGGCCGCUCGAGCUGGGCCAAGUGGCCAAAAGGUUCUGACAGAUGUGCCGGGGCCUGGGGAUGGAGGGCUGAGGUCAGAGACGCUGCCCAGACAGGAGGCCCAGAAGUGGCUAGGCUGGGGACUGGCCAGGACCUACCCACUGGCAGCAGGGCCACACCCACCCCCCUCCUGAUCUCAGCUUCCAGGUCGGCCACAGGGACCACCAAGGGGCCAGGAGGGACCCAGGUGGCCAGGACAUUCCCAGCCUAUAGACUCUGGAGCUCUGCCCGCUACACCAGGAACCUGUCCAGUCCCACAAACUCCUCACACCCGAGCCCAAAAGACAACCUUUUACCAAACAGUAACCAAUGGAACGUCUCGUACAUAAAUCAUGUCAUAAAGAAAUGACUUCCAGCAGUCAGGGCAGUCCUCAGUUCUUAGACUGCGACAUCAGCACACCCCUGUGCCGCCCCAGGCCGCAGCAGGCUGGGAGGCAGGGCCGGGGGAAGGAUCGUCCCACAGGCCCAGGACCAGGGAGGACUGCAGCUCUGCCUCAGUUGGCCUGGGAUGCUCCUGAGGGA